rnacentral:rRNA from 1 species
AUUGAACGCUGGCGGCAUGCCUUACACAUGCAAGUCGAACGGUAACAGGUUAAGCUGACGAGUGGCGAACGGGUGAGUAAUACAUCGGAACGUGCCCAGUAGUGAGGGAUAGCCCGGCGAAAGCCGGAUUAAUACCGCAUACGACCUAAGGGUGAAAGGGGGGGAUCGCAAGACCUCUCGCUAUUGGAGCGGCCGAUGUCAGAUUAGCUAGUUGGUGGGGUAAAAGCUCACCAAGGCGACGAUCUGUAGCUGGUCUGAGAGGACGACCAGCCACACUGGGACUGAGACACGGCCCAGACUCCUACGGGAGGCAGCAGUGGGGAAUUUUGGACAAUGGGCGCAAGCCUGAUCCAGCCAUGCCGCGUGCGGGAAGAAGGCCUGCGGGUUGUAAACCGCUUUUGUCAGGGAAGAAAUCCUUUGGGUUAAUACCUCGGGGGGAGGACGGUACCUGAAGAAUAAGCACCGGCGAACUACGG